GCACGGGGCCGUGACUGGCGCGUGGGGAUGGGAAGGACCAUCGGGGAGCGGCCCUGUCGAGCGACGUGAAGCCGUGCGCCUGGGCUUUCGCG
rfam:Streptomyces sp. SCSIO 03032, complete genome.